AAAUCUUGCUCUCAAAGUCCACCUCCUCAAUUUGGGAUGAUUGGUUGUCUAUUCAGGUAUUCCACAGAUGCAGGUACAUCAAGUUGAUUGUGGAGC